rnacentral:tRNA from 1 species
AAUGAAGUGCCUGAUUAAAGGGUUAUCUUGAUAGGAUAAAUAAAGUAAGUUAAAUUUACCUUCAUUA